AGGUCCUAAGGCAGGAUAGUGAAUAGCAGCAAUGGGAAGGUUUAGAAAACCAGAACAAGGGCUGUGGGUGUUGAAGCAAUCUGCUGCUCAGUCCUGCAGCAGGAGGGAUAUGAGAGGAAGAACCUGCUGCUUGCUGAUGGUUGAGCUGAACAGGCCCCUUGGUGGUUAGAUGCUGAAUGCAGCUGAUGAUUAUUUGAGAGGUGAUUCAGGCCAUUUCUGGUGAGGUGAUAGGCUGCUGUUAAAAGGGCAGUGUUUGGCGCUGCUGCUGGAGAAGACAAGAAAAAUGAAUGACAGGAUUACAUACGGUUAUCCUGUUUGUUAGCACUUGCUUGGGUCCCAUCAAGUAUCCUGGCUUUAGCUCCUCUGGAAGGGUCACCAGGAGGACUGCAGUCUCUGUUCUUGCUUUGAAGUCCCUCCUGGGAGGAAGCAGGCUAUUUUAGUGCUUACUCCUGUCCAUCAUACAGGUGAUGGUAAAAGACAGAAGCAUAUGAAAAUGGCUAUGCUGGAUCAGACUAAAGGUCUCUUUGGCCUGGCAGCCUAGCUCUGAAAAACACCAAGGGAGGCGUCCAAAGCCAGUGAAGGUCACGCAGAGAUAUUUCCGUCUUCUCUCUCCUCCCACCCAACCUCCAGUGAUAUGGGAUUUCCUGAGCAUGAGUACAGGAUCCUGCCCAGUCCCCUACUGCUGAUCCACAAGGUUCUUUGUCAGAGCUGCCAGCCUCGUGUGGAUAUUUCAGAGGAUUUGUCAAAUGGUGUUCAUUGUUUCUAUUAAUGCAGCUGAGUUGCACCGAGAACGUCCACUUUAAUAUUAGUCUUCUGAGUAAGAUGUGGAAGUUUGAAAUUGCAUUCCAUGGUCCUGUGCCACAUUUCAUCAGCGUUUUUCCUUUGCUUUCUCCAAAGACUGGCCACAUGUGGUGUGUAGAUUGCUGGUGCUGUUUGGGAUCUCAUAUCAAAUACUGCUACCUAAUCCCAGGCGGGCCUUGGCGGGCCCACACCUGCAGCUGAUUGAAUCCUCCCGGAGUACAAAGGCCUGAUUUACAGCAUCAAGGAUACAGGGCCUGGUUGCAGCUGGGCUCCAGCAGGAAAAGGAAGUUGUUCAUCAUCUUGUGUGCAUUUCAUUAACAAUAGUGUACCCGAUAUGUAGCUUAUACAAUAAUUUCAAAUCACUGACAGAGAGCAUUAUGGUAUUUGGCAUUAGGAGGAAAAAUACUUCAGGAUGGGCAAAUUAAAUGUGAGCGUGAGGUUUUCAUGUGACCCACUGAAGGUCCACAAGCUGAUUUACACUGGAAGGGCUAAUAUUGAAAUAUUUUAUUUAUUUAACUUUAUCCCAUUUCUUUCACUUUGUCUGAUGAAUGGGCUGGUACAGCAUGUGAGCCUCAGUGUACAAGCAUGGGAGAAAGUUAUAGCCGUUUUCAGAACAAGCAACCCCAAAGUUAUGUUAAAGUAAGAGGUGACUAUGACUACAAGACUAUUGUCUUUAAAAACAGGGAACUCAAGGUUCAGAAAAGAGUUUUUAGAUAAAUUCCCUUAUCUUGGUGCACAAAUGGAUUAAUCUGAUGAACAUUUCAGAUGCCCAUAUUUGCAUUAGCUGUAUAGAUAUGGGAGGAAACGAACAUGGUUAAUAUGUCAUUCUUCAAGCCUACAUGUCCUACCCAUACACAGAGUACAGUAACAUGAAUUCAGAAGAGGUCGUGGGUAUUUGUUUCCUGGCAGAACAAACUUUUCUGUCCUGGCUGUGGUCUGAAAUGUUUCUGAUUGAACAGUCAGUGAUGUGGUUUAUCUAUAAUAGUUGAUUAUUUACAAGAAAAUGUAAUUCUUUAUUCUUAUUCAAAAACUUUUGAAUUUUGUUGAGUGUUUAGAUCUCCAUCCUAUUUUAUAAAGUAAAAUGUUUUCUUAUUUCAACAGAAAAAAAAAUUAUUUGUCAAAAUGGGGUAAUUGUAUUCAACUUUCCCCAAUCAGAAGACUGCCAGAAGACUCACAGAAAUGGCUUGCAUAUUUGAGCCCUUUAAAUUGAAAAGACACAAAGUUUGGUUGAAUAGUCUCUAAAUUGAACUCAUGGUCAUUUUCUGAAACAAUUAAGUAGUUUCCUGUCUAAAUGGUACUAUUUACACUGCAAAGUCACUGAACUUCUGCAAUUGCAGUGUCAAAUAUAAUUUAGAAUUGAUGGUAUUGAGCUGAGGCAUUUAAAGAAUACAUCAUAUAUCCAUACAAAUUCAGCAUAGUUUUGAUGUUGCUAGGACAGAUAAGAUAACACUAAGAGAAUUAAAAACUCUCUUGUUUGCUUUGUGAUCAGGAAAUUAAAAAAAAAAAAGAUCUUGAAUAACAUUAAGUUUAAUAUCUACACAAUCAGAAAUACAUUUUAGACAGGGUAAGAUUUGCAAUUUUAAAAGUUCAUUAGUUUUAUUGUAACAUCAUAGUCUAACAGCAUUUUGCUGAAAAACAAAUUAAAACUCACAAGGCCUUUCUACCUGAAAAAAAAAAACACACACAAAAAAAACAAAAAACAUAUCUAUUCUUUUAUAUCCAAUUAUUUCAUUAAUGUGUAACAUGAAGUAUUAUUCUGGAAAACAAUUUUCUCUAAUGUGUAAACCCAGUCGAUAACUGCAGUUCAAGAAAUAAGUUAAAACAACAAUACAGUGUUAAAAGCCCACAAAAAGAAAAAUACUAUUUCACCAAUUUGCAUUCUUAUUAUCACACCCUUCAUGUACCAAUUGUGUGAGUAGAGCCACAUGAAUUAGUGUGAUUUUCUGAAAAAUUAUUUUUAAAGUGUAUAUUACCCAGAAGACUUAUCUGAGUGGAUAGUUUUAGAGGCACAAAUCAUGGGGAAAACUCAUCUGUGACUGUUGGUUUGUCUUUGGUGCUGAGAGAUUCUGAAAUUAUCAACUAAAUGUUGUUCUUAAAGGACAUAUAGCAAUGAGAAUAGUAGUAGUGAGGCUGUCAAAAUCUGUGUCUCUUUGAGAUGUUUUGCUGACUGCAUCCAGAUUUUUUUUAGCACUUCAUACCAUGCAGCAUUUUCAGACUCUUUCAUGGGUACCUAGUUAUGCCAAAAUUGUCAUGACUUAUUUUUCCUUAGUCUCCUCAUCUUUUGUUGUUGUUGUUGUUGUUCCCAGUAAUAUUUCCUCAUACACAAGUCCCAGAUUUGUACUUUCUUACUGACUUUAAUGUCUGUGCUAGUCACUCAGCCCAAAACCUUCAAAUAUCUUCUUGUUUUUACUCCCUUACUCUUCCUCUCCUCUAAUCUAAUUAAACUAGUCAUGUUUAUUACAUUCUUUCUCUAGCAUGAAGUGUGUCUGUGGUGUGUUUGUAGGGCAGGACGCCUUCACCAAGGUUUUGAAGUCAACAGACUCCCAACAAGGAACAUAAAUGACAUAAAGUCCUAAUGAUUUUAUGAGACAAUGAAUUUAUGUUAUGCGACGAGACAUCUCACUGUUCCUUCUUCUGAGCAUUUGGAACAGUCUCUAACCUCUUACUGUAUCCAAAAGACCCUUUUAUUGCCUGCUCCCAUAACCAUGUACCUGCCUGCUCUGAUAAAUGCUUGAAUUACAUGGCUGUCCAGGCCAUGUGAGAAUGGCCAGCAUUGGCUUUUUAAAAUUGCUACAAACACAACUUCUCUAUACCCUCUCCCACACCA